GCGAUUUGUCUGGUUAAUUCCGAUAACGAACGAGACUCUGGCAUGCUAACUAGUUACGCGACCCCCGAGCGGUCGGCGUCCCCCAACUUCUUAGAGGGACAAGUGGCGUUCAGCCACCCGAGAUUGAGCAAUAACAGGUCUGUGAUGCCCUUAGAUGUCCGGGGCUGCACGCGCGCUACACUGACUGGCUCAGCGUGUGCCUACCCUACGCCGGCAGGCGCGGGUAACCCGUUGAACCCCAUUCGUGAUGGGGAUCGGGGAUUGCAAUUAUUCCCCAUGAACGAGGAAUUCCCAGUAAGUGCGGGUCAUAAGCUUGCGUUGAUUAAGUCCCUGCCCUUUGUACACACCGCCCGUCGCUACUACCGAUUGGAUGGUUUAGUGAGGCCCUCGGAUCGGCCCCG
rnacentral:rRNA from 1 species